rnacentral:rRNA from 1 species
UGGGGAAUAUUGCACAAUGGGCGCAAGCCUGAUGCAGCGACGCCGCGUGAGGGAUGACGGCCUUCGGGUUGUAAACCUCUUUCAGCAGGGACGAAGCGCAAGUGACGGUACCUGCAGAAGAAGCACCGGCCAACUACGUGCCAGCAGCCGCGGUAAUACGUAGGGUGCGAGCGUUGUCCGGAAUUACUGGGCGUAAAGAGCUCGUAGGCGGUUUGUCGCGUCGUCUGUGAAAUUCUGCAGCUUAACUGCAGGCGUGCAGGCGAUACGGGCAGACUUGAGUACUACAGGGGAGACUGGAAUUCCUGGUGUAGCGGUGAAAUGCGCAGAUAUCAGGAGGAACACCGGUGGCGAAGGCGGGUCUCUGGGUAGUAACUGACGCUGAGGAGCGAAAGCGUGGGUAGCGAACAGGAUUAGAUACCCUGGUAGUCCACGCCGUAAACGGUGGGUACUAGGUGUGGGUUCCAUUUCACGGGAUCCGUGCCGUAGCUAACGCAUUAAGUACCCCGCCUGGGGAGUACGGCCGCAAGGCU